UAGUUCCUUGUAUUUACUGUCUC
rnacentral:siRNA from 1 species